UGUGUGUGUGUGUGUGUGUAUGUAUCUAUAUAUAUAUAUAUAUAUAUAGAUAUAUACACACACACACACAUACACU